GUGAGGAAUUUUGCGCAAUGGGGGCAACCCUGACGCAGCGACGCCGCGUGGAGGACGAAGUCUUUCGGGAUGUAAACUCCUGUCAGUGGGGACGAUAAUGACGGUACCCACAGAGGAAGCACCGGCUAACUCCGUGCCAGCAGCCGCGGUAAGACGGAGGGUGCAAGCGUUGUUCGGAAUUACUGGGCGUAAAGCGUAUGUAGGCGGCAAGUUAAGUUCAAUGUUAAAGCCCACGGCUCAACCGAGGAGAUGCAUUGAAUACUGGCUAGCUAGAGGGUGUAAGAGGAAGACGGAAUUCCCAGUGUAGCGGUGAAAUGCGUAGAUAUUGGGAGGAACAUCGGUAGCGAAAGCGGUCUUCUGGGACAUACCUGACGCUGAGGUACGAAAGCGUGGGGAGCAAACGGGAUUAGAUACCCUAGUAGUCC
rnacentral:rRNA from 1 species